GCGUUGUUCGGAAUUAUUGGGCGUAAAGGGCGCGCAGGCGGCCUUAGAAGUCAGAUGUGAAAGCCCCGGGCUCAACCUGGGAAUGGCAUUUGAUACUCUGAGGCUGGAGUACGGGAGAGGAGAGUGGAAUUCCCAGUGUAGAGGUGAAAUUCGUAGAUAUUGGGAAGAACACCGGUGGCGAAGGCGGCUCUCUGGACCGUAACUGACGCUGAGGCGCGAAAGCGUGGGGAGCAAACAGG
rnacentral:rRNA from 1 species